GGUAUCAGAAGUGCGAAUGCUGACAUAAGUAACGAUAAAGCGGGUGAAAAGCCCGCUCGCCGGAAGACCAAGGGUUCCUGUCCAACGUUAAUCGGGGCAGGGUGAGUCGACCCCUAAGGCGAGGCCGAAAGGCGUAGUCGAUGGGAAACGGGUUAAUAUUCCCGUACUUGGUGUUACUGCGAAGGGGGGACGGAGAAGGCUAUGUUGGCCGGGCGACGGUUGUCCCGGUUUAAGCGUGUAGGUGUGUGUUCCAGGUAAAUCCGGUUCACUUUAACACUGAGGCGUGACGACGAGGCACUACGGUGCUGAAGCAACAAAUGCCCUGCUUCCAGGAAAAGCCUCUAAGCAUCAGGUAACAUCAAAUCGUACCCCAAACCGACACAGGUGGUCAGGUAGAGAAUACCAAGGCGCUUGAGAGAACUCGGGUGAAGGAACUAGGCAAAAUGGUGCCGUAACUUCGGGAGAAGGCACGCUGACACGUAGGUGAAGUGAUUUACUCAUGGAGCUGAAGUCAGUCGAAGAUACCAGCUGGCUGCAACUGUUUAUUAAAAACACAGCACUGUGCAAACACGAAAGUGGACGUAUACGGUGUGACGCCUGCCCGGUGCCGGAAGGUUAAUUGAUGGGGUCAGCGCAAGCGAAGCUCCUGAUCGAAGCCCCGGUAAACGGCGGCCGUAACUAUAACGGUCCUAAGGUAGCGAAAUUCCUUGUCGGGUAAGUUCCGACCUGCACGAAUGGCGUAAUGAUGGCCAGGCUGUCUCCACCCGAGACUCAGUGAAAUUGAACUCGCUGUGAAGAUGCAGUGUACCCGCGGCAAGACGGAAAGACCCCGUGAACCUUUACUAUAGCUUGACACUGAACAUUGAGCCUUGAUGUGUAGGAUAGGUGGGAGGCUUUGAAGUGUGGACGCCAGUCUGCGUGGAGCCGACCUUGAAAUACCACCCUUUAAUGUUUGAUGUUCUAACGUGGACCCGUGAUCCGGGUUGCGGACAGUGUCUGGUGGGUAGUUUGACUGGGGCGGUCUCCUCCUAAAGAGUAACGGAGGAGCACGAAGGUUGGCUAAUCCUGGUCGGACAUCAGGAGGUUAGUGCAAUGGCAUAAGCCAGCUUGACUGCGAGCGUGACGGCGCGAGCAGGUGCGAAAGCAGGUCAUAGUGAUCCGGUGGUUCUGAAUGGAAGGGCCAUCGCUCAACGGAUAAAAGGUACUCCGGGGAUAACAGGCUGAUACCGCCCAAGAGUUCAUAUCGACGGCGGUGUUUGGCACCUCGAUGUCGGCUCAUCACAUCCUGGGGCUGAAGUAGGUCCCAAGGGUAUGGCUGUUCGCCAUUUAAAGUGGUACGCGAGCUGGGUUUAGAACGUCGUGAGACAGUUCGGUCCCUAUCUGCCGUGGGCGCUGGAGAACUGAGGGGGGCUGCUCCUAGUACGAGAGGACCGGAGUGGACGCAUCACUGGUGUUCGGGUUGUCAUGCCAAUGGCACUGCCCGGUAGCUAAAUGCGGAAGAGAUAAGUGCUGAAAGCAUCUAAGCACGAAACUUGCCCCGAGAUGAGUUCU
rnacentral:rRNA from 1 species